UAACCGUAGCCCAACGAAGAUCGUGAUAACACCUGGAAACAGAUGCUAAUACCGGAUAACAACAGAUGAUGCCUAUCAACUGUUUAAAAGAUGGUUCUGCUAUCACUCUUGGAUGGACUUGCGGUGCAUUAGCUAGUUAGUAGGGUAACGGCCUACCAAGGCGAUGAUGCAUAGCCGAGUUGAGAGACUGAUCGGCCACAUUGGGACUGAGACACGGCCCAAACUCCUACGGGAGGCAGCAGGG
rnacentral:rRNA from 1 species